rnacentral:rRNA from 1 species
GAUGAACGCUAGCGGCAGGCCUAACACAUGCAAGUCGAGGGGCAGCGGGGAAGUAGCUUGCUACUUUUGCCGGCGACCGGCGCACGGGUGCGUAACGCGUAUGCAACCUACCAUUAACAGGGGGAUAAUUCGGAGAAAUCUGGUCUAAUACCCCAUAACACUUUUUAAGGCAUCUUAAUGAGUUAAAAGUUCCGACGGUUAAUGAUGGGCAUGCGUUGUAUUAGCUAGUUGGUGGAGUAACGGUUCACCAAGGCUACGAUACAUAGGGGGACUGAGAGGUUAACCCCCCACACUGGUACUGAGACACGGACCAGACUCCUACGGGAGGCAGCAGUGAGGAAUAUUGGUCAAUGGACGCAAGUCUGAACCAGCCAUGCCGCGUGCAGGAAGACGGCUCUACGAGUUGUAAACUGCUUUUGCAGAGGGGUAAACCCGGAUACGUGUAUUCGGCUGAAAGUACUCUGUGAAUAAGGACCGGCUAACUCCGUGCCAGCCGCCGCGGUAAAAC